GAAUCUGAUAAAAAAAUUAUUUAUUUGUGGUAAAUGAUUACUGAUUUGAUUUUCAUUGAUGAUAAUUAUCUGAAGUCUAGGUGAUCGUGAGAGAUGGAAAUUAUAAUAAGCCCGCUAAUAACCAAGCGCAACAUUUACUCGUCAAGAGUUCCUUAAUUUUAUAGCAGUAUUAUAUCCUUUUGGUUGUUUUCACCCGUCAACGCUUGCUGGUUGCCUGGUACCGAGGACUUACGAGAUAACUUUUAAUUAUUUUCAAUGUUUAAAUAUUUCAUUGGGUGUGUAAAAAAGUUACUCCUUGAAUACUGAAGAUUCUGUGCUUUUACCAACAAUUUUUUUAGAUUUUAAGCACAUAUUUAUUUCUACAAGAGCUUUUAAAUUAGAUGCUAUGUAAGUUUCAUUUUUCUUGAAGACUUCUAUGAUUUAAAAUUAGAAAUAUUCAGCGUUGUGUAAUUGAUGAUUAAAUGUGAGCUUGAAAAUAUAUAGUUAUAAUUUUAAAUGACACUGAAA